rnacentral:tRNA from 1 species
UUGUUUUGACAGAUUAAUGUAAUAAAUUUAGAAUUUAUAAAUGUAAAUAUAUUUACAAACAACAA